GGUUGACCUCGAAUCAGGUAGGAAUACCCG
rnacentral:rRNA from 1 species